rnacentral:rRNA from 1 species
GGUUAAGCGACUAAGCGUACACGGUGGAUGCCCUGGCAGUCAGAGGCGAUGAAGGACGUGCUAAUCUGCGAAAAGCGUCGGUAAGGUGAUAUGAACCGUUAUAACCGGCGAUGUCCGAAUGGGGAAACCCAGUGCAAUUCGUUGCACUAUCGUUAACUGAAUACAUAGGUUAACGAGGCGAACCGGGGGAACUGAAACAUCUAAGUACCCCGAGGAAAAGAAAUCAACCGAGAUUCCCCCAGUAGCGGCGAGCGAACGGGGAGCAGCCCGGAGUCUGAAUCAGCUUGUGUGUUAGUGGAAGCGUCUGGAAAGUCGCAGGGUACAGGGUGAUACUCCCGUACACUAAAACACACAGGCUGUGAACUCGAAGAGUAGGGCGGGACACGUGGUAUCCUGUCUGAAUAUGGGGGGACCAUCCUCCAAGGCUAAAUACUCCUGACUGACCGAUAGUGAACCAGUACCGUGAGGGAAAGGCGAAAAGAACCCCGGCGAGGGGAGUGAAAAAGAACCUGAAACCGUGUACGUACAAGCAGUAGGAGCCCACUAGUUGGGUGACUGCGUACCUUUUGUAUAAUGGGUCAGCGACUUAUAUUCUGUAGCAAGGUUAACCGAAUAGGGGAGCCGCAGGGAAACCGAGUCUUAACUGGGCGUUAAGUUGCAGGGUAUAGACCCGAAACCCGGUGAUCUAGCCAUGGGCAGGUUGAAGGUUGGGUAACACUAACUGGAGGACCGAACCGACUAAUGUUGAAAAAUUAGCGGAUGACUUGUGGCUUGGGGUGAAAGGCCAAUCAAACCGGGAGAUAGCUGGUUCUCCCCGAAAGCUAUUUAGGUAGCGCCUCGUGAAUUCAUCUUCGGGGGUAGAGCACUGUUUCGGCUAGGGGGUCAUCCCGACUUACCAACCCGAUGCAAACUACGAAUACCGAAGAAUGUUAUCACGGGAGACACACGGCGGGUGCUAACGUCCGUCGUGAAGAGGGAAACAACCCAGACCGCCAGCUAAGGUCCCAAAGUCAUGGUUAAGUGGGAAACGAUGUGGGAAGGCCCAGACAGCCAGGAUGUUGGCUUAGAAGCAGCCAUCAUUUAAAGAAAGCGUAAUAGCUCACUGGUCGAGUCGGCCUGCGCGGAAGAUGUAACGGGGCUAAACCAUGCACCGAAGCUGCGGCAGCGACGCUUAUGCGUUGUUGGGUAGGGGAGCGUUCUGUAAGCCGUUGAAGGUGGCCUGUGAGGGUUGCUGGAGGUAUCAGAAGUGCGAAUGCUGACAUAAGUAACGAUAAUGCGGGUGAAAAACCCGCACGCCGGAAGACCAAGGGUUCCUGUCCAACGUUAAUCGGGGCAGGGUGAGUCGACCCCUAAGGCGAGGCCGAAAGGCGUAGUCGAUGGGAAACAGGUUAAUAUUCCUGUACUUGGUGUUACUGCGAAGGGGGGACGGAGAAGGCUAUGUUGGCCGGGCGACGGUUGUCCCGGUUUAAGCAUGUAGGCGGAUGUUCCAGGUAAAUCCGGAACGUUAUUAACGCUGAGGUGUGAUGACGAGGCACUACGGUGCUGAAGUGACAAAUGCCCUGCUUCCAGGAAAAGCCUCUAAGCAUCAGGUAACAUCAAAUCGUACCCCAAACCGACACAGGUGGUCAGGUAGAGAAUACCAAGGCGCUUGAGAGAACUCGGGUGAAGGAACUAGGCAAAAUGGUGCCGUAACUUCGGGAGAAGGCACGCUGAUGGUAAGUGAAGUGACUUGCUCAUGGAGCUGAAAUCAGUCGAAGAUACCAGCUGGCUGCAACUGUUUAUUAAAAACACAGCACUGUGCAAACACGAAAGUGGACGUAUACGGUGUGACGCCUGCCCGGUGCCGGAAGGUUAAUUGAUGGGGUUAUCCUCGCGGAGAAGCUCUUGAUCGAAGCCCCGGUAAACGGCGGCCGUAACUAUAACGGUCCUAAGGUAGCGAAAUUCCUUGUCGGGUAAGUUCCGACCUGCACGAAUGGCGUAAUGAUGGCCAGGCUGUCUCCACCCGAGACUCAGUGAAAUUGAACUCGCUGUGAAGAUGCAGUGUACCCGCGGCAAGACGGAAAGACCCCGUGAACCUUUACUAUAGCUUGACACUGAACACUGGUCCUUGAUGUGUAGGAUAGGUGGGAGGCUUUGAAGUGUGGACGCCAGUCUGCAUGGAGCCGUCCUUGAAAUACCACCCUUUAAUGGCUGGUGUUCUAACGUGGGCCCGUGAUCCGGGUUGCGGACAGUGUCUGGUGGGUAGUUUGACUGGGGCGGUCUCCUCCUAAAGAGUAACGGAGGAGCACGAAGGUCAGCUAAUCCUGGUCGGACAUCAGGAGGUUAGUGCAAUGGCAUAAGCUGGCUUGACUGCGAGCGUGACGGCGCGAGCAGGUGCGAAAGCAGGUCAUAGUGAUCCGGUGGUUCUGAAUGGAAGGGCCAUCGCUCAACGGAUAAAAGGUACUCCGGGGAUAACAGGCUGAUACCGCCCAAGAGUUCAUAUCGACGGCGGUGUUUGGCACCUCGAUGUCGGCUCAUCACAUCCUGGGGCUGAAGUAGGUCCCAAGGGUAUGGCUGUUCGCCAUUUAAAGUGGUACGCGAGCUGGGUUUAGAACGUCGUGAGACAGUUCGGUCCCUAUCUGCCGUGGGCGCUGGAGAAUUGAGGGGGGCUGCUCCUAGUACGAGAGGACCGGAGUGGACGCAUCACUGGUGUUCGGGUUGUCAUGCCAAUGGCAUUGCCCGGUAGCUAAAUGCGGAAGAGAUAAGUGCUGAAAGCAUCUAAGCACGAAACUUGCCCCGAGAUGAGUUCUCCCUGACCCUUUAAGGGUCCUGAAGGAACGUUGAAGACGACGACGUUGAUAGGCCGGGUGUGUAAGCGCAGCGAUGCGUUGAGCUAACCGGUACUAAUGAACCGUGAGGCUUAACCUU